rnacentral:misc_RNA from 1 species
GAUGAAGAACGCAGCGAAGUGCGAUAAGUAGUGUGAAUUGCAGAAUUCCGUGAAUCAUCGAAUCUUUGAACGCAAAUUGCACUCUCCGGUAUUCCGGAGAGUAUGCCUGUUUGAGGGUCGGUUAAAUAAAAAAUCGAUGUGUUGCUUUUUUUUGGUAACAUUUCGGAAUUGGGUCGUCUUAAAGUCCCUCUUUAAGUGACCUAAAAUUUAUCAUUCCAACUCGGUAUGAUUUUUUGUUACGUGAUUAAUUAAUUAAUAUUUCGUAAUACUUUACCGGGUGCCUAUUAGGCGUAACCAACUCACGAUUUGGAAUUACGCUUAUAAUACUUCUUUCGACUAACGACCUCAAAUCAGGUAAGAGUACCCGCUGAACUUAAGUAUAUCAAUAAGCGGAGGA